rnacentral:rRNA from 1 species
AUGGACGAGUCUGACAACGAGUCUGCCUCAGUUGCAAGCAUUCCAGAUCCCUAUGACAUGGUGUAUAGCAAAAUCCCAACAGACACACACAAGCUGAAGCCAGUGGAAGACUGCAAGCACUGCUAUGCAAAGAAGUUUGAGCGUGAGACCAUGGGGUUUUGCUGCCGUAAGGGGAAGAUCAAACUAGCCAACCCGGAUACGCCUCCUGAGCUCAUGAAGCUAUGGACGAGUGAUGACCCUGCUGCUAGGCAUUUUCGUGACAACAUCAGGUUUUUCAAUAGCCAUUUCUCAUUCACCUCACUAUAUUGUCACCUUGAUAGUGAUACCACUAACACAUUAAAGCAUCCUAUCUACACAUUCCGUGCCCAUGGCUAA